AAACUGCAUUACUUCAGCUCACAACUUGGAACCGCUGGAGAAUUUCCUUCUUCCGCCGGUUCUAGGUCUAUUUGGUUACUGCAAUUCAAGCCUAAUAGUACCGCUCUCAAAUUCAAACUUUCCAGGUGCCUCUCCAUCCGCUCCUCUGCUACUGGCUAGAGGAUUCCUGUAAUUCUCAUCCACGCGGUGUGUAUAUAAUCCAUUGAGAUGUUUGUACUUUCAUGUGAAGAAAUGGAGAAACGUUUUCUAUAAUGAUUGGUAACUUUGCUUGAUCAUGGCGCUGGAAAUGUCCGGAGUCUCAGAAAUGCAAUUUGGUUUUUCGGCCUUGACAUUAAAGAUGUACAAGCAGCACAGGACAUUUUGAAAGUGUUUCCCUGGAGUAGGUUAUUUUGAUAUUGCCAUGAAUGUGCUCAACAAGAAGGGGUAGGAUUCUAGUACAAGGUACUCCUAUUGAUUGAUAGGGACUAGUGAGGCAUUCAUUGAUCAAUUACAGAUUUGUUUUGUUUGUUUGUUUUUGUUUUUAAAAUUUUUUGGAGGUGGUUGGGGAUGGUGAAUUUUCUGCACUUACUUUUCUUGAACACUAUACUUUGCUGGUCCAAGAACCAAAGGUACUCAAGUUGUUAUGAGAAUUUAUGCAGAAUGACUAAAGCUCUUUAGACUUAUAUCAAGCAAUACCGUCCAAUCCUGGCAUUUGUCUUGGCAUGCAGCUUCAUUUUUAGUCAAGUAAGGAGAAUGGACCAGUAAAAGGUCUUGGUCUAAUUGCUGGAGUAGUUGGGUGUUUUGAUUCAUCUAAAGGAAUCAGAGUACCUCAUAUUGGGUGGAGUGCACUUGAAAUAACAAAAGCUUCAGGGAUCUUUGAUGAAAUUGGGAAGCAUCAUGUUUAGUUUGUUCAUUCUUAUCGCGCAACACUGGUGCAAUUUUUUCUCUAUUUCAUUGUUGAAACUUUAAUUUUUUGCUUUUGCAUGUAAGAAACUUAGCUUAACCCUUCAUCACUUCUUUUAGUCAGAUGAUAAUGGAGAGUGUGUAUCAUCAACUAGUAAUUAUGGUGAUAAUUUUAUAGCAUCUGUCAGAAGGGGAAAUGUCCAUGGUGUCCAGCUUCACCCCGAGAAGAGUGGAUGUAUGUUGUACAUGAACCUUGUAUGCCAAGAAAAAAUAGAGCUGUUUUAAAAAUUUUCAAAUUUUCUCGAAAGUAAAUGAGUUGAAACUUCAAACCUGCACUUUGCAGGUCUGUUCAUAGCUAUUUUCUCAACCAAAUGAAGCACAAAGAGCCAAUACCACCUCCACUGAGGCUCGAAACCACCCCCUCCCAUGUGGGGUACAACCGGGUACCACUAGACCACAAGGAUGAUGAUGGAACUUUGUGUUCAAUUUGGAAGUUGCUACAAGGUCUGGUGCUGACAGUCUCAGUUGGGAGUGAUGCUGUUUAUGCUGCAGAAGAAUACUCGAAAUCUUUUUAAACCAUCUCUACACUUAUUUAUAAAAGUGCACUCAAGUUAGAUGCACCAUAACAUAACAACAAACACACUAUAGAUUUUUGUUAAAUGCACUGCAAUAAUUACAAAAAUGCACCCACAUUUUUUUCUCAUAUUUUUCAACCCUUGAUUACUUUAUAUAUAAAUAUAAAUAUUGUUUUGUACGCCCUUUUUGAAAAAUAAGGUGACAGGAAAGCACAGUUUAUAUACACCUUGCAUUUUCUAGAAAAAAAAAAAAAAAAAAAAGGGUCCGAAAACAUCUCUAGAAAAUGGAUCUCAUUAGAGUAUUUCACUUUUUGUCCAGGAUU